rnacentral:ribozyme from 13 species
AAAUGCCUCACAUGCUAAAGGUAGACAAAAAAAGAAAAAAGCCAAGUUCAUUUCUUCUCGUUUUUCUUGCUUUUGAUUUUUUUUAUUGUUUUUGAGUUCAAAAUA